UAUUUUCAUUAACAAUCAUUUACAUAUGCUAUAAAAAGUUGUUCGAAAAUGCAUUGAUGCUAACCGUCGCCACGCGGACCGCGGCACCACUCUGCAGCGCGACCGGCAUGACAGCCACCUUGGAUGCCGGUCAGGCCGACCAAUCAACGAGCUCUACGUCACCGAGAAGACGCCAACAGCUCUCGCUACGACGAAGCCGGUUGAUCGGCCAUUACAUUCUUGUAUCGCUUCAGUGAAACACGUGCGGGAACAUGACGUCACGAUAUCUUUAGUUGUAUGUUAAAAUCAGUGGUACAAGCUAUGUAUGUAGAGAAGUGACAUCAGCGCCUCCUGGUAGUAAGGCGUAAACCUAAAAUUUGCAUCAAAAUCACAAGAGUGGAGCUUGGAGGACCUGGACAGAUUCGAUGAGACUCUGUAAUACACAUAACAUAAAAAAAGUAAUCAAAAAAAUGCUAUACGGCGGUGCCGAGGUGGUAGAAGAGAAGAGAGAGACUGUAGGAAGUGGCGGAGGCGGGCGGCCUAUUAUUGUUAACAUAUACUAAAAAUAUAUAUAUGUAUAAAUAAACAUUAUAAAUCAUUACAUUUCUUUAUUUCUUAUUCCCUUCUUGAAAUUAUUAUGUCAUGUAGUUUUCAUUCCUAUAAGUUUUAUGGUCGCGUACUUACGUUAUGUGUAUUAUUUCAUUCAUUCUACCCCUACCAGCACCACGAAUCCGCCGUUCUUUGAUGUUUCCGAACAUAGAAAAGGAUAGCGCAAGAAGGAUAAACAAAGGGAGAAAGGCUCACAAGCACAACAUUUAACCCAAUAUUAUGCUACUAAAUGUUGACCGAUUUAUAUUGUGUUUAGCUUCAUUUUAAUCAGACAAAUCUUCUCCACAUGAUAGUGAAAUUGGUAUUAACAAAAAGUACAAAAUAAAAAACUUUAUUCUGUGCAUUAGUAUGGUCACAUUGACACGGAACAUUUAAAUGAAGGCAAUAAAUCCCGGUUUCAGUCCCUCUUUCGUCUUUAGCUACAGACUCUUUCUAGUCAGUGUUUACUGACUAGGCAAUCAAAUUCGAAAAAUGAUUCUCCUAUUCCAUAACAGUUGCGGAGUGGACCGGCAAUAGUUAUGUACAUUUAUCGAGUUUUCACUGUAUAUGGUGCAAGUUUUAUAAUU